rnacentral:rRNA from 1 species
AACGAACGCUGGCGGCAGGCUUAACACAUGCAAGUCGAACGCACCCUACGGGGUGAGUGGCAGACGGGUGAGUAACGCGUGGGAAUCUACCCAUCCCUACGGAAUAGCUCCGGGAAACUGGAAUUAAUGCCGUAUACGCCCUUUUGGGGAAAGAUUUAUCGGGGAUGGAUGAGCCCGCGUUGGAUUAGCUAGUUGGUGGGGUAAUGGCCUACCAAGGCGACGAUCCAUAGCUGGUCUGAGAGGAUGAUCAGCCACACUGGGACUGAGACACGGCCCAGACUCCUACGGGAGGCAGCAGUGGGGAAUAUUGGACAAUGGGCGCAAGCCUGAUCCAGCCAUGCCGCGUGAGUGAUGAAGGCCCUAGGGUUGUAAAGCUCUUUCAACGGUGAAGAUAAUGACGGUAGCCGUAGAAGAAGCCCCGGCUAACUUCGUGCCAGCAGCCGCCGUAAAAC